rnacentral:lncRNA from 1 species
CCGGAGGCCGCCCAACGGGGAGGGGCGGAAGGCGCCACCCCGCGGAGGAGGCCCCAGUGCCACAGCCCAGGGCCCCCGAGAGCUCUGGGAGCCCGGGGCAAAUGCUAGAAAUUUGCUUAGAACGUCCGGGUCCCACGGAAGGCGCCCUUGCCGCCCUCUCUCGGGUCGUAGCUCCCUGACGCUGGGGCGCAACCCCUUCGCUCCUCCUCCCCGCUGGCCGCGGCCGGGCUUCCCCAGCUCUUGCUGCUUCGGGCCUGUGACUUCUGCAACCCCGGGCUGGGGGCCGCGGGGUCUCAGGGCCGGUGACGCCGCACUGGGAGCCGCCCCAAAGAGGUUACUCACCUCCCUCGUCCCGCACAUUAUUCUGACCCAAGAGCCUCCACCCCACACGGGAUUUUGCGCGUCGUCCACGCCCGGCCGGCGGCCUUUGCUGCUCCCAGCCCUGCGCGGCUUUGGUCCCAGCCUCGGUGGCCCCUGUGCCAAACCGGGGACAGGCGGAAGGGAGUCUCCUAGGGACCCUAAGUAGCCUGGGGCCAACAACCCCUUUCCUCUCUGCUCUCCCCUCAAAACAAGUUUCAGGAUCUUGCAGGCCUCGCGGCGUCGUUCUUCGUUGUGGCGGCCUGUGGCUCUUUGAAAAACACGACGAGGCCUGCAAAAUGCGUUUUUCUUUUUUUCCUUUACGCAUGUAACCACGGUCCUGCAUCGUGAAACGGUACGCGCGUCGGUGGCAAAAGAAAAACAGCAGUGGCUGCAAAGCUAAGGGCCCUCGCUUUCAGAGGAGAGAAUUUUCUUUCUCCAUGCGGGUGGAAAGUGGCCUCUGCGGGUCCAACCCCACUUCUUCUUGGGCCCGUGCGCUCCGGCUGCGCCGCAGGGACCGCGGACAGCUUCGCCAAGGCACUGCCUGCCCGCCCGGCUCCGGGUCCCCGCUCCCACUCCCAGCCGCGUGGCCCAACCUCUCCUGGGCUUCACUGCAAAUCACCCCUUCCUCUCCCGCCUCCUAAGUCUGUCGAGCAGACCUAGGGGCCGGCUACAGUUGGGAGGGCAACGGGAAAGAUCAAGCCACAAUCAUUCCGAAUUAUCGCCCCAGACACCUCCCUAGACUCUGGGGAACGAACGCGUGCUGAGCCUCCCCGCCGCUUUGGAGACGGGGCUAGAUUUUCGUUGCCUCCGGCUCUCGACAGGUGCAAAACAAUGAAUUCCAAGCCUCGGAAGCAAAGAAGCUUAGGAUCCGACGGUGGCCGCAAGAUCUCAUCAUGGAUCUGACCCCUGCUCAGCGCGCGCCAUUUCGUCGUUGCCAAACGAAAUCAAGCCCCGCGUGCGCUCCAGGGGCGAAGGACUCUGGACUCACCCCGACCACCGGGAGAGCUGGCCCCUACCCACCUCGGGACCUCACAGCACGCCCUCAGGCCGUGUCGAAAGGAAGGACGGCAAAGGUCCCUUACUGAACCUUUUAAGAGAGCCUGCGCCUGGCAGUUGUCGAUUGCGGACCCAGGCCCGCGCGCCCUCGGACGCGCUGGCACGAGCAGCAGAACUAGAGGAAAGCGAGUGAUCCAGCCUGGGCGCUCCCACCUCCGGGAACGUCUCCGAGAAGGCGCAGCGCGUCGUGGCCAGUGAGAAGGGCUGAAUAUCACCUGUGAGCCUGCCCCUGCUCCCAAGAACACCCUUUGGACACCUGUGGGCUCUGCAAGGUUGGUGUAACCCCUACAGAUGAGGAAACCAGAGACAGAGAAGUGAAGUAACUCAUGCAGGUGACGGCAGAGGGCAGAGUCAGGACUUGAACCUGGAGAGCCUGGCUCUAAAGCCCAAGCUGGAAUCUCGAUACUCUACACCUCGAUAAGUUUUUGGGAAAUGACUGACUAAACAGAUGAACGCGUUUGCCCCCCCGCCGCCCCAGAGCCCCCUUAAAGCCUACAUGUGGCAGUUUGGGCCCAUUUCCUUGGCUUCCCUCCCUGGAGGGGCACCCACUGCCAGUGUCCCUGGUGAGUGUUUGCCUGUGGGGGUACAAGUGAGGGUUCAGCAAAGGUGACCUGGUGUGAGGGGGGGGUGCCCCAGGGGGUGCAGAGGAGGGCCUCAUGAGGCAGAUUCAGAAUGAAGGUUCUGGCCCCCAGUGGAACCGUGCAUGGGCAAGGGGUCCUCAGGGCCAUUGGCCCAUAAUUGUCAGACGGGGAAACUGAGGCCCAGAGAGAGGAAGGGACUUGUCCUUAGUUACACAGAGUGUCUGGAUCACAGCUCUUAGGUCUCAGCUUCCCCAUUUGUCACACAGGGAGAAUAAAUCCCCCUUGUCCUGCCUGGGGGUAGACCCCAGGGGGCCCCUGUGCCCUCUCACACCUUCCAUUCCAGCUUCUAGAAUUCCACCAUCCAUGCACCAGCCCUGAGGGUAGGCGUUGCCCUCUUCUCACCUCCUGCUCACGCCUCUACUGCAGGAUGGGAACCAAAUGCCUCUCCACCCUUUUCCCACACCCCUUCUCUCCACAGUGAACUGAGGGGAGUUUCUGAUCCCUUAGCUCAAAGUCAGAGAAACUGAGAGGGGAGGGCUGGGUGGGAGCCGUGGGAAUGUCAUGCACAAGCAGUCGGACUCUCCAGGGGUCUGGAUCUCUCCCUUGCUGCCUUGAAGGCCCCUGCACAGGCUGUGGCACUGGCUGAGUACAGGUGCCUGAAGGCAGAGGCAUGGAUGGGAUGCUUCAUUCUCAGCCUGUUUUUGCCAGUGAAGACAAAAGGGAAGUCAUCUUCCGUUGGUCUAUGGGGACCCUGAGGUAGUAGGAGCUCGGUGAUAAUUCUAGGGACCACCCUGGGUUGUCAGGUGGGGGAGACAGAGAAGCCCACAUAGGAGGCACCAAAUGCAACUCACUCGUGCCCUUUUACUCAUGAGAGAACACGGAUCCAGAGAUGUCAAGUGACUCAGACACAGUCUCACAGCACACAGGCGGCAGAGGCAGGUAGGGGACUGGGCUUCCCUGGCAGCAGUCCCCAAGCCUGCCUGAGAGGCACAUCAGAAUCGCUUUAGGGGAUUUGCAAAACCACACCUGCCCAGGCCCAAACCCUAGAGAUUCUGAUUCCGCAGUCUGAGGUAGGAAUGGAGAAUCCUCCACAGCCUGAGGUAGGAACUGGGAAUCCAGUGUUUAAAACUCUCUAGGGGCGGUGAUUUCAGAAAACCUGCUGGCUCCAUCACACUUUGCUCAGGGACUGAGAUGGGAUGGCAUUUGGAAGACACAGGUAGGAGGAAGAGGAGGCAGUGGGGGGCACAGGGAGACCCUUCCCCUUCUGGUAAAAGCCUGUGGACGAGAGAACAGCCCGAGUAAGAUUCUGAGAACCCGAGACCCGGAUGGACCUGGAGUUUUUGUCUUGCGUAUAAUUUAGGGGGUCUGUGACACUGGGCUGGAGAUAACCGUGUCUUUCCUUUCCCUGGCCUCUAGCUGAAAUUUAGCAUCAUAUUCCAUGGCGAUUUUCCACCAGUGGAAAUCACAGGUGUUCUCUGGUAUCACAGCGGGGUCAGGGAUGACCUGAAAUAUUGUUCAUGCUCAUCACAACUGCAUGGCCCACCGCGGGGUCUUGUCACUCAGUGAGUUCUUGAAGAGGCACAGACAAAUGGAGUUCAACAAAUGGAAAACAACUGCCUUUAAUUAGCUCCGAGGACUACAAAGGGAACAACGUUAUAAUAGCAGCAACUCCAAGGAAGCAGCCACAGCUCUCAGCUCUCAGACCUGGGGCUGCCGCUCAUCAUCAGCUACAGCUAGGUUUGAUGGGAGUGCCCCCAUUUCAGGGGACAGCAGGCCCCCUUCACUCCCCGACUCAGUCCCCAUCUGCAGCAGCACAGCCUUCCUUGGCCUCACCAGGGAAGAAGAACAGGCCCCGCUCUCAGACAAGCCUUCCCAGAAGCCUGAGGACUCAAACACCCAAAUGUGUCUGGGUCCCUGCCCCGAGCCGGCCACCCAGGCAGCAGCCCUGAAUCACUCGGUCAGCCAGCGGCAGGGCAGGCCAAUGGGCUGGAGGGUAGGCAGGCAGGCAGACCCACCUCUGCAUCUCUGCUGACUGCCUCGGCUGAGGAAAGGCAGCACCAGCCCCCAACCCUGAAGUUCUAGAUCUCAUGCAGCCUCUCUGUUCUGGAACCAUCCAGAGGCACUGCCCUUAUACAUGGUCCACCCCCAGGCUCAGACAAUGAGAAUUCCACAAGCAGAGGGGACUCUAUUUGGGGCACAGAGAGGUUAAGUAACUCCCCUCCUAAGGUCUCUCAGCAAGGAAGCCACUGAGCCGUGGGACUUGAGCUCAGGGACUCUUGAUCCCCAGUCUCAGGUGUCACAGCCCCAUCUGGGCUCCUGCUAGGGAGGAGGAAGGCAGCAGGGGGUGUCUGAGGCCAGGGUGCAUCAGCCCUAAAUGCCAGACAGAGGCAGGAGAAGUCUCCCCAUGAGUCCCAGCCCCAUUAGAGGCUCCAGGUCGGGGAUCCCAGACCCCCUAUCCUUGCUGGGAGACACAACCCAGAACUCUGCAUCCCUGCAGCCACCAAAAAAGGCAAAAGCUGCCCAGAAACACUUUCUCCUCUUCCGUGGCCAAAUCCACGAACUUUCUCGAGGUCUGUCCCCCUGCCCCGUGCAGGUCCAGCUUCAGUGCAGCCCAGCUCUGUGCAGUUUUCCACAAAAGCCUGUGGCUUCCUUCUCCUCCCUCUGCUUCUGAUACCCCAGGAGUUACACACAAAAUGUUGGCGGUGGUCUCCAGGAAGACCCCUGCAUCCCACAGCUCUCCCCAGAAGUUGCCAGCAGUGACCUCCUGAGCCCAGGUGGGGAGUCCCAGGCAGGACAGGGGCUGGGGCUGCAGGCCCUGGGGCCCUGUUAGUGAAGCAGCAAGCCGAGGGUCCCUGAGAGUUUCCCUUGGCCCCUCUGAGGGCUGCCCUUUGAGGUCUUGAGGUCUUGGAGUAUCCAUCGCCCCCACGGCUUACUGUCCCCACCAGCGGAGGAUGAAAGUGCCACAGCGAUGUUCCACGCCAAGAGACCACAGAGACCACCAACCCCUCUUCCCACCUCAGGCUUUCAGAGGCCAGCGGAUUUAGGCGGACAGGCUGUGCGCUUGAGGGCAGCCAGGGCGGUCAGUGGAGGGACGUGGUCCGGGGCCUGGCCACAGCUCCCCACCCAGGGCCCUGGGCUAUUGUUACUCACCGCGGAUGAAGGUCGGCGAGUAGGUCGGGAAGGAGUCGAAGAUGCUGUUCGAUGCCAUGCCCCGCUCUGAAGAAG